UACGGAGGGGGCUAGCGUUGUUCGGAAUUACUGGGCGUAAAGCGCACGUAGGCGGCUUUGUAAGUUAGAGGUGAAAGCCCAGGGCUCAACCCUGGAAUUGCCUUAAGACUGCAUCGCUUGAACAUCGGAGAGGUAAGUGGAAUUCCGAGUGUAGAGGUGAAAUUCGUAGAUAUUCGGAAGAACACCAGUGGCGAAGGCGACUUACUGGACGAUUGUUGACGCUGAGGUGCGAAAGCGUGGGGAGCAAACAGG
rnacentral:rRNA from 1 species